rnacentral:rRNA from 1 species
GAUGAACGCUGGCGGCGUGCCUAAUACAUGCAAGUCGAGCGAACAGAUAAGGAGCUUGCUCCUUUGACGUUAGCGGCGGACGGGUGAGUAACACGUGGGUAACCUACCUAUAAGACUGGGAUAACUCCGGGAAACCGGGGCUAAUACCGGAUAACAUUUAGAACCGCAUGGUUCUAAAGUGAAAGAUGGUUUUGCUGUCACUUAUAGAUGGACCCGCGCCGUAUUAGCUAGUUGGUAAGGUAACGGCUUACCAAGGCAACGAUACGUAGCCGACCUGAGAGGGUGAUCGGCCACACUGGAACUGAGACACGGUCCAGACUCCUACGGGAGGCAGCAGUAGGGAAUCUUCCGCAAUGGGCGAAAGCCUGACGGAGCAACGCCGCGUGAGUGAUGAAGGUCUUCGGAUCGUAAAACUCUGUUAUUAGGGAAGAACAAAUGUGUAAGUAACUGUGCACGUCUUGACGGUACCUAAUCAGAAGGCCACGGCUAACUACGUG